AGGGGAUAUAGAUCAUGUCUGAACAUUUGUAAUGGAGCUGCUAAUCCCUGAAACCUCGCUACAAUAAUAUUUGAUGAAACCAUACCAGUAACAUGCAGGGUGAAAAUUGAAACAAGAAAAGAUUUAGUGCUUGGAAGGUUCUUUGUUUAAGUAAAAGCUACUGUAUGUCUUUUUCUUCCUUGAGCUUGCUACUUUGAAACACUAGUUGUUUACAUUAGCAAUCUGAUCAAUUUGAGACCAAAAGCACACAAAAUAAGGUAUUU